GGAGUGGCAGCCAGAGGCUGGAGGGAGGGACGUGCAGGCUUUUGUCGCGCAGCGGCCUCUCUCCACUCCCGCCCCGGCCCGCAGCCUGCAGCGGUGAAGCCCAGCCUGGCCAAACUGGGCGUAGCGCUCACCCCCUCCCACUGGCACAUCCUCUCAGCCACGUCCGCGCACCCCGCCGCCGACUCCCGCCUUGGCCCAGCCACCUUUCUCCUUCCCGGGGCCCCAUCCGGGCACUGCCGGCGCUCUUGCUCGCCUAGCACUGGUCAGCAAAGGCCUCCUGCAGUCGGGCCAGGUCCGAUCCACCUGGAGAACAUACGGAUCGGGCACCCCUCAUCACCCUGAAGAUAGCAGCCCAGGUCGCAUGCGGUGUCCAGGGCAGACACCGCAGGGAGAUGGAGGGCAGUGUGGAGACACCUGCAGAGUUGCCUGGGCAUCCCACUUCUACAGUCCUCUGUCCGCCUGUACUCCAGGCUGAGGCUGCCCGUGUGGCUUCCCGUCCGGUCUCCUGCUCCUGGUGCCUGGGCUGCCAAGCAUCUACCCGGAAUCUGAGCGUUUCGGUUUGAAGCUGUGGGAGGCCCCGUGGUGAGGCUUCUGUCCAAGUCCACAGAGAAGAUUUCAGGCCGUGUUAGGAACAUCAUGUCCGUUAACGUCUGGAACACGCCAGUGAGUGACUCGCUUCAACAAACGCCACUCUGGUCCAAAAAGAGUUUUUGUUUUCUUUUGUUAAGUUGAAUGCCUGUUCGAAAUUGGGGGAGAGGUUCCUGUCAGGAGAGCUGACUUGACUUUGCUAGAGUAUCCACUGCCACUUCCCGAAAGGACAUGGGCCAGCUUGUGAAGUGUCGCAGUCGUGAGGUGGUUCAGGUAACCUGAGGUCCAGGAGUUGACUCGCGGGUCCCUUGAGCCCUUAGGUCCCAGCCCCUAAACUUUCUCGACCAUACCUGCUCCCUUUCCCCAAGUGAGGGGAGUCGAUGGCCAGGAUGGGCACUAGUACGCUGGAUGUAAAGGAGCGUCAAUGGGGGGCGCUUGGGAUUCGUAGGGGUCAGGUGUGAGCUGGCCCGGGAGGGGGCGCCCGCCCAACAGGUGUCUCCUUGAAGCUUGCUAGGUAGAGCACGAGGACUCUGAAACCUGGCGCGCGGGCCUGAGCUUCCAUUUUAUUCUCGGUGGGCUCUGAAGCUAGUAGAGGGCGGCAGAGUUCUCCUGCCUGUGAGCGCCUGGCUUCUGCUUAGGCCUGGAUCGUGGCGCUCCAGCUCCUGCAGCAGCCAGAUCCGUGACACCGAAUGAAUGCUGUAGUCAGCCAGGCUGCUUUUUGUCUUGUCCAGGUCCCAGGGAACCAGGGAUCAAUUGUAGUGAUGGACUGGAGACAAUUUUUCCCGGGCAGGCAGGCAAGCAAAUUUAUCACUUUUGGUAGGAACUUUCCAGGCACUCUACUCAAACACUGCCACCACCAUACACCCUCCCCUUAUUGCCCCCCCCCCCGCCACCCCCCAGAACUUCUGAACCCCUUUCAGCAGUCUCGGUGCCUGUGCAGAGCCCACUCCCCUUUAUACCCUGAGUUAUUUACUGUCUAGCAUCUACAGAAAAGACCCUGGGUGGGGCAUACUCAUUCAAGGGAGGGGGAGGGAAGGGAAGGGAAGGGAAGGGAAGGGAAGGGAAGGGAAGGGAAGGGAAGGGAAGGGAAGGGAAGGGAAGGGAAGGAAGAGGUCACCACGCUAGCACCCCAGAACAGGGCAUCUGGGUGGAGCCAGAUCAGUUUAUUCAGACAUUUUUGUUUUCGCAGGAAGAGAUUCUUUUGGGAAGGGGCCCUAGGUGAGAUGUCCUGUACUGGAAACAACCACAAGUCAGACUAAGGCUCUUAGCUUCCAAUUAGGUUGGUUUCAGUCUUUUAUAUGAAGUAUCUAAUUUUUACCAGGAGAAUGAUUGUCCAGAUCUUAAUCUUUUCUAAAGAUUAGUUUCCUGUCCUGGUUUCAAUUUCAGUGGAGUUUACCCUACCUUUUCCUUGUGACUUGUGCCAGGUAUGUAUGGAGGAGAAAGCAGUGUGUGUUUAUACAUAUAUGUGUGUAUAUGUAUAUAUACAUAUGUACGUGUAUAUACAUAAGUAUGUAUAUACAUAUACAUGUGUGUAUACACACACACACACAUCUUUCUCUCUAUAUAUAUCAGUAGAAUGGAGCAGGUUCUUAUGCCUAUAUGCAGCUGAUUCAGACAUUAAUUACAUAACCAUACAAAUGUGCUUGACUUUGGAGGGCCUCGUCCUGCCCACAGACAUUGAGAAAGUACAACCCUAUUAUUGCUCAGUACAACCUAUCAAGACCAAGACCUCCCGUAUUUCCUCCACGAAUUAUCUUUCACCAAAAUUUAAAAUGUCCAUACUGCUGUCUGUUACUAAUAAAAACAGCCUACCUCGUGUAAUUAAACAGUCGAAUCUGA
rnacentral:lncRNA from 1 species